UACAGAGGUCUCAACCGUUGUUCGGAUUUACUGGGCGUAAAGGGCGCGUAGGCGGCCACCGCAAGUCGGUUGUGAAAUCUCUGGGCUUAACCCAGAAAGGUCAACCGAUACUGCGGGGCUAGAGUGCAGAAGGGGCAACUGGAAUUCUCGGUGUAGCGGUGAAAUGCGUAGAUAUCGAGAGGAACACCUGCGGCGAAGGCGGGUUGCUGGGCUGACACUGACGCUGAAGCGCGAAAGCUAGGGGAGCGAACGGG
rnacentral:rRNA from 1 species